ensembl:snRNA U6 U6 spliceosomal RNA
AUACCCUCUUCAGCAGCACAUGUAAUAAAGUUGGAACGAUACAGAAAUGAUUAGUGUGGCUCUUGCAUGAAGAUACAUGCACAUUUGUGAAACAUCCUGCAUUUUA